GUGAGUAACACGUGGGUGAUCUGCCCUGCACUCUGGGAUAAGCCUGGGAAACUGGGUCUAAUACCGGAUAGGACCACACACUUCAUGGUGAGUGGUGCAAAGCUUUUGCGGUGUGGGAUGAGCCCGCGGCCUAUCAGCUUGUUGGUGGGGUAAUGGCCCACCAAGGCGACGACGGGUAGCCGGCCUGAGAGGGUGACCGGCCACACUGGGACUGAGAUACGGCCCAGACUCCUACGGGAGGCAGCAGUGGGGAAUAUUGCACAAUGGGCGCAAGCCUGAUGCAGCGACGCCGCGUGAGGGAUGACGGCCUUCGGGUUGUAAACCUCUUUCAGUAGGGACGAAGCGAAAGUGACGGUACCUACAGAAGAAGGACCGGCCAACUACGUGCCAGCAGCCGCGGUAAUACGUAGGGUCCGAGCGUUGUCCGGAAUUACUGGGCGUAAAGAGCUCGUAGGUGGUUUGUCGCGUUGUUCGUGAAAACUCACAGCUUAACUGUGGGCGUGCGGGCGAUACGGGCAGACUAGAGUACUGCAGGGGAGACUGGAAUUCCUGGUGUAGCGGUGGAAUGCGCAGAUAUCAGGAGGAACACCGGUGGCGAAGGCGGGUCUCUGGGCAGUAACUGACGCUGAGGAGCGAAAGCGUGGGUAGCGAACAGGAUUAGAUACCCUGGUAGUCCACGCCGUAAACGGUGGGUACUAGGUGUGGGUUUCCUUCCUUGGGAUCCGUGCCGUAGCUAACGCAUUAAGUACCCCGCCUGGGGAGUACGGUCGCAAGACUAAAACUCAAAGGAAUUGACGGGGGCCCGCACAAGCGGCGGAGCAUGUGGAUUAAUUCGAUGCAACGCG
rnacentral:rRNA from 1 species